UACGAAGGGGGGCUAGCGUUGUUCGGAAUUACUGGGCGUAAAGGGCGCGCAGGCGGCCCGGAAAGUCGGAUGUGAAAACUCGGGGCUCAACCCCGAGCGUGCACCCGAUACUGCCGGGCUUGAGGCAGGUAGGGGAGAUCGGAAUUCCUGGUGUAGCGGUGAAAUGCGCAGAUAUCAGGAGGAACACCGGUGGCGAAGGCGGAUCUCUGGGCCUGUCCUGACGCUGAGGCGCGAAAGCUAGGGGAGCAAACGGG
rnacentral:rRNA from 1 species